rnacentral:rRNA from 1 species
GACGAACGCGGGCGGCGUGCCUAAUACAUGCAAGUAGAACGCUGAAGAGAGGAGCUUGCUCUUCUGGAUGAGUUGCGAACGGGUGAGUAACGCGUAGGUAACCUGCCUUGUAGCGGGGGAUAACUAUUGGAAACGAUAGCUAAUACCGCAUAACAAUGGAUGACACAUGUCAUUUAUUUGAAAGGGGCAAUUGCUCCACUACAAGAUGGACCUGCGUUGUAUUAGCUAGUAGGUGAGGUAACGGCUCACCUAGGCGACGAUACAUAGCCGACCUGAGAGGGUGAUCGGCCACACUGGGACUGAGACACGGCCCAGACUCCUACGGGAGGCAGCAGUAGGGAAUCUUCGGCAAUGGGGGCAACCCUGACCGAGCAACGCCGCGUGAGUGAAGAAGGUUUUCGGAUCGUAAAGCUCUGUUGUAAGUCAAGAACGAGUGUGAGAGUGGAAAGUUCACACUGUGACGGUAGCUUACCAGAAAGGGACGGCUAACUACGUGCCAGCAGCCGCGGUAAUACGUAGGUCCCGAGCGUUGUCCGGAUUUAUUGGGCGUAAAGCGAGCGCAGGCGGUUUGAUAAGUCUGAAGUUAAAGGCUGUGGCUCAACCAUAGUUCGCUUUGGAAACUGUCAAACUUGAGUGCAGAAGGGGAGAGUGGAAUUCCAUGUGUAGCGGUGAAAUGCGUAGAUAUAUGGAGGAACACCGGUGGCGAAAGCGGCUCUCUGGUCUGUAACUGACGCUGAGGCUCGAAAGCGUGGGGAGCGAACAGG